UACAGAGGGUGCAAGCGUUAUCCGGAUUCACUGGGUUUAAAGGGUGCAUAGGCGGACAGGUAAGUCAGUGGUGAAAUCUCCGAGCUUAACUCGGAAACUGCCUUUGAUACUCUCUGUCUUGAAUAUGGUGGAGGUAAGCGGAAUAUGUCAUGUAGCGGUGAAAUGCUUAGAGAUGACAUAGAACACCUAUUGCGAAGGCAGCUUACUACGCCUAUAUUGACGCUGAGGCACGAAAGCGUGGGGAUCAAACAGG
rnacentral:rRNA from 1 species